AGUCCCACUGUGCCACGCUCCAUUUGACUUGUUUGGGGGUACGUUUGUUCCAGAGUCCUGGCCACAUAGUGUUAGUUACAAGACACAUAACACUUUGUUAUGUGCGCUUGACAAAGUUGGGCAGCGAGACAGAGAGACAAACGGCGGGAAAAGUGGAAAAGUGCUUAGUGCCUUAGUUUAAAGCGAAUCGCAUCCUUUUCCCUUUUUCCGGGGAAAACAGAUAAAGCGCACCCAAGUUACGUGGGGUGGAAAAGUGUGGAUGUACCUAGCGAAUUGGGUGCUAAUAUGGUCAAAGCAUUGUGCGGAACACAACUUUCUAAUGCCCAACUGGGCGGAUGGUGGUCUCCCGAUUUUUACGUUGUAUUUUAUUUUUAAAUUUUCAAGAUUUGCACAUGCUGAUAACGCGCUAGCGGAUGGAACAAAUAAAUCUCAGACAAAGGAAGCGGAUAACGGAUAUUUGCGGAAUUUGCAGACACGUGUGUGGAGAGCGGAAGGCAUUUGGAAAUCGUUUGGCGGGGUGGCUUUCCCGCACAUGCCGCAGGAUAUGCCGAUACCCAUAUGCUCGGCAGAGUGGAGGUGGUGAUGGUGGUGGGGGCGAGCUGCGAAAGUGCCAAAAUGCCAGGCGCGACAAGCUGCGACACCUGAAACCUGCAAGGAUCCAAGCACGCAGCGGACAAUCAUCGCCACAUCCCGAACCAGGCACCAGACACCAGGAACCCGGCAGCCCAUGAUCAUGAUGCAUGAUCCAGUCGCUCGCGGUAGACGCACAAAAAGCAUCAUCAGCGGCUCUGGCGAAAUGUCAACUUUAUUAAAAGAAAUUAUAAAUUGGUAUGCCAGUCCCGGAGUCUCAAGUUUCGAGUCCAGAGUCCCAAGUCCCGCGUCGAGAGUCCCAGUGACCACUUCACAGACACCGCGCGCAAAAUUCCAGGCUCACACAUCAUUAAACGAGCAAAAAAACCGAGGGAUCCCAUCCAUCCAGUCAGUUCUGCAGCGGAGCGGUCGGGAGUUUCGGGCCCAAGUGCCGCAUCCUUUGUCCAGCCCAUUACAAUUACUGACAAAAAGCAUCAAGGUAGCCAUAAAAACAAACCUACUCGAGUGGGGAGGUGCUAGGAGUUCCAAACUGGGGAUUACAUAUGUAUAUAGUACCUUGCAUAUCAUAAUAUAGAAUACUCACCUCAUUUCCGCUAAUUCAUUAUAAGUU
ensembl:ncRNA lncRNA:CR44678 long non-coding RNA:CR44678